GGAGGGGUGCCUGAGUGGUCUAAAGGGAAUAUCUUCUUUCAGGGAGUAUUGAGUGCAUUCUCGCGCUCCGUAGGUUCAAAUCCUGCUCCCUCCGCCA
rnacentral:tRNA from 1 species